rnacentral:rRNA from 1 species
UUGACCUCGGAUCAGGUAGGAUUACCCGUUAAACUUAAGCAUAUCAAUAAGCGGAGGAAAAGAAACCAACAGGGAUUGCCCCAGUAACGGCGAGUGAAGCGGCAACAGCUCAAAUUUGAAAUCUGGCCCUCCCCGCGGGGGCCCGAGUUGUAAUUUGGAGAGGAUGCUUCUGGCGCGGCGCCGUCCGAGUUCCUUGGAACAGGACGCCACAGAGGGUGAGAGCCCCGUACGGACGGACGCCCAGCCUGUGCGAAGCUCCUUCGACGAGUCGAGUAGUUUGGGAAUGCUGCUCAAAAUGGGAGGUAAAUUUCUUCUAAGGCUAAAUACCGGCCAGAGACCGAUAGCGCACAAGUAGAGUGAUCGAAAGAUGAAAAGCACUUUGAAAAGAGAGUCAAACAGCACGUGAAAUUGUUGAAAGGGAAGCGCCUGUGGCCAGACGUGCGCCCCGCGGACCACCCGGCGCUCCGCGCCGGGGCACUCCGCGGGGCGCAGGCCAGCAUCGGUUCUGCCGGGGGGAGAAAGGCCGCGGGAACGUAGCUCCCCCGGGAGUGUUAUAGCCCGCGGCGCCAUGCCCCUGGGGGGACCGAGGACCGCGCCGCGCAAGCGGCAAGGAUGCUGGCGUAAUGGCCACCAGCGACCCGUCUUGAAACACGGACCAAGGAGUCAAGCAUUGGGGCGAGUGUAUGGGUGCCAAACCCGCACGCGCAAUGAAAGUGAACGCAGGUGGGAGCCCUCGCGGGCGCACCACCGACCGAUCCUGAUGUCUUCGGAUGGAUUUGAGUAAGAGCCUCACCGCUUGGACCCGAAAGAUGGUGAACUAUGCCUGUAUAGGGUGAAGCCAGAGGAAACUCUGGUGGAGGCUCGCAGCGGUUCUGACGUGCAAAUCGAUCGUCAAAUAUGGGCAUGGGGGCGGUAAGUCGACGACCCUUCCUCCGGAACGCUUCUUUCUUUCUUCUCCCGAGGCAGCAGUUACUAACAACCCGCGCAGAAAGACUAAUCGAAACCAUCUAGUAGCUGGUUACCGCCG